GGUUUAAAGUGCAAAGGGAAGGCUUACAAAAUCUGUUAUUUUGUCAUCAACAGCUAUUUAUUUUGUUGCUUUAGAGCAUCAAUGAAAAUGCAUCCAGUGAAUGUUCGUAAAUGUUGUCAUGAAUUCAGUUCGUCAAAACACCUUGUGUCAUGUAAGUCCACAUACUCCCCUUCAUAACACACCAGUUGGAGUACAAGCGGCUUUGAAAUGGAUUAUGUGAAUAUGAGACGGCAGGUGUGGCUGGUUAUGAUGAUCAUGUCGUUCCGUUGACAGCAUGACUGGGCUGAUUAAUUAUUUACCACGCGAAGUAUAGACUUGGCAUUGUGCCAAAGCUGGCAUGAUUACACAGUCCUAGGACUUAUCCAGCCUAUUAGGUAACAAGUGUUACCUCACUUCUUUGUUGAUGCUGAAACUUUUACAGUUCAUCCCCACAGGGUGGAAAACGUCAUUGUUAGACCCUAAUCACACGUUGAAGUCUGCCCAUGAGAACAAUAAGUGGACAUUGUGAAGUCUAUUACUAUAUGAUUAAAAGGGUUCAGCUUUUGGAUUAAUCUCGAUGAAUGUAGACUGUUUUGUGGUAGGUAAGCUCUGGUAAUACCACUAUUAGUUUUGGCCGUUUCGGUUGGAAGGGUUGAAAGAGUGGUUAAUGCAUCCUUUGUUAUUACUCAUUUCAAAAUUGAUUAUGGUGUAGGCCUUGAGGAAAUGACCAUUGAUGAAAUGGUCUGUGGAAUAUUUACGCUUUGUUGCCAUGGUUGUAUUUGGGGAUUGAUAUUUCAUGACAAAGGACUCACAUUUUGCAAUUUUACCACUACAUUUAGCUUGGUGUUUGGGUAGUAAAGAAUGGCGGAGUGCUCAGCGCAUUGUGACACUGUGAUGAAGUCAGUUCUCCAGCUCAGAUAAUAAAUCCAAGCCAUGUCAGUCAAAAUUAUUAAUGAUACAUUCUCCAGAAGAUCUGUCUCCAUUAAUACAUCAACUCUUGUAAAUGCUGUUAUUAGUCUCAUAUUGUCUGCUGCGUGCAAUGUGUAAGUCCUACUAUGUUGAGUUAUAUAUAGUUAUAUUUGUACUAUAGAUUUUGUAACCUGCCCCUUGAGGGUGUUUUGUACAAUACAAUAUCUUGUGCAAUGAUAUGAGUAUUGUUUUGGAAAGUCAUGUAUCAAUACAAGAUGAUACAAGUAGGGAGAGAGGCUCAAGCCACAGUUUCAGUCAAUUUGUUUUCAGAACAUGUGUCAUGUUGUCUAUCUAUCACACAGUCUCACAGUUCCUGAACUAUUAUUUUCUCUUCUGCCUUGCUCUUUCUGUAAUGCAAAAGCCCCAAAUGAAGCAAGUGUAGAUUUCCCUCAGGUUCAGAGUCUGUUAUCAUCUGCAAGAACUCCUUCAGGUGUCGGUAUACAGAGUAAACAUGAAACUAUCAUCGCUCGCUUGACCAACAUCCUCACUAGAGGUCAGAAAUCUUUUCUAACAUUUGCAUCUUAAUUAACAAGCACAGGGUGAGUCCUGCUCCAUGUGUGUGAAAUAUGUAUGCCUUGUAUGCAGUCCAGUUAGUAUCCAACAGGCAAGUCAAGGUGUAUCUAUAGCCCAUUUCUGGUGUCCCCUGCCGUGAUAUUGCUGGAACAUUGCUAAGAGCGGCGUAAAACCAAACUCACUCACUUUACAGGACGAUCUCAGCUGAUUGACUUUUUCACUUACUGGUACUCUUUGUCCCAAAACCGAUUCAUUUUGUACAGACAAUGUUUGUAUAGUGCUCUCUCAGUGUAGGACAUCUUCGAAGUAUUAGACAGUUGUUGGUCUUUUUACUUUCAUUGAAAAGGUUUCCUUUGUAAGAAGAUAUGAUAAGGGAAUGGACUAUGGCCACAUGAGGGGAUGACAGCAGCACUCAAUGGAGAGAGGACAGACCUCAGCAAGAGGGCCAAUAUAUGGGCAGACUGUAAAACCUGGGGACCUUUAUCUGAUGGUUGUAGAAUGGGAUUGUUUUUAUUGAUAAUGACCCCAGCACAUGUCGUCCCAAUGCAGAUGUUUAUGGUGUCUGAAUCUCCCAUCCUCCUGGGGCUCCUUUUCAAUUUAAUUGAUUCUAUCAAAAUGAUAUAUUUUCAGAGACUAUGAGUUAGUCUACACAUGCAACCUUACUGUCGAUAUGAAUUGUAUCAACAUGAAGUGCAUUGCGCCAGCCCUACCUGGUCGUGUCCAAGUUUGACCGUAAUCUUGUGUAAAUGAUACUAUGUGGUGUGAGGGCAUCCUUGAUCAAUGAAUAUGCAACCAGUGGUGUUGAUGGCCAAUUCUGAAACUAUUAUAUGUAAAUAGAUGUUUCUCUUAUUGCUAACAAUCUUUUUGAAGUUAGAUGACAAUCCAAGACUUGAAAAGGUCCUCCCUUGUUUCACUAGUGGUGAGGUUUCCGUUUGGUGUGACUGAGACUAUUGUGGAAGGAACAAAUUCAGAAUCGACAUAGCCACUAAUCAUGAAGAAUGUCUUGAGGCGAGACUUUCCACAAGGUAAUUUGAUUGCCUUCGCUCAGUGUCUGGUUGCCAUGGCAACCACUCAGGGAGCAGGAUUAAUAAUUGAUUUUCUUUCACUGACUAGGUUCUACGGGGAAUAAAUCUAAUUUGCGAGUUUUUUAUUCUUCGAUUAGAAGCCAAGGAAACUUCCAAAGUGUGUGGGCAGUACUAACAUCAAACGAAAAUAGAGCGAGCAGAUUGAUCAGGCGAUGCAGUGAAUGGCCCCCAGUCAGGCCUGGCUUCUACUUUAUCAAGUUUGCCUGCCAUCUUUUUGCCUGUUUUUGUGCUUAUUGGUUGGAUGAAGGUAGCUGUUGAUGAUUUGCUGGCAAGGAGAACCGGCAACUGAUGCAAUAGCCUCCAUUUUAUAUGGCUUUGAUUUUGGACCAUGUUCAGAUUUACCAAUAUCAUUCCCUUGUUGAUUGGAAUCUGCUCCAGUGGAUUUAAUUUGCAGGGAAAUGGAAGAGGUCUGGAUUUUUUCUAGUGAUUUGGAUGUAUUUUCAAAAAAGGGAAUAUCAUUGCAUAAGCAAAAGAAUGUCCUCCUGUGCUAGGUUAGUGUUGUAAAGGCUGCAACAUUUUUGAAGACAAAGUCAAUUCUAGAUUUCCAGACGCACCGAAAUGAGUUUAAAAAAAGAGAUGUUAUAAUUGACUUCAAUGCAGUGGGGAAUUAAAGAUUUGUUUUGAAAUUUAGUUUACAUAGUAAUGAAUUAAAAAUGGAGCAAUCUUGUAAAUGCAGUACACAGUCACCGGUUUGGUUCAAAGGUUACUGUUAUUGUCAGUCGUCCUUCACACAUGAUACCAGGCUGGUGUUACAUUAAACAUUGUUGACAUCAGAAAUAACAAUGACUGGGAUUUGUCUAACAUGCAAAAUUUGCUGUCAGCUAGAUGACUCAUAAGGUCAUACAGUCUGCUGUGUCGAGCAGAUGUCAUUCAACUUGGGGGGAAAACACAGUUGAGUCUGUAUGCUUUCUGCUGCACCUUGUCUGUUCACCCUUUGUGUUGGAUUGGGUGUUCGCUUGCUCUUAUUGAUUUGUUUUGUCUUGAAUAAACAGGACAUCAUGGAUGACAGAUGUAAGAGUUUGUGCAUAACAUGUCAGAUCCAGAAGUGACAUUUGCAUAAAUAAUGUUGCUGACAUUAUAGCCAGUGUACUUUACUGAAAUCUGUUUUCAACUUUCAGCACUAGUUUUGGGGGAUAUUUUUGUGUUGUAAAUACAUGCUAUGCUCAUUAGACCUCAUACAAGUACAUGCUACUGAUUGGAACUAUUCGUUGUCUUCAAACGCACAUGCUAGUCUUGAUGUCGGAGCAGACGUGAAAAUUAAGGCCUUCGCUCUUGGAUACUUUGAAGAUUGACCUAAUUAGACGUGGUCCUUAUCCAUUUCAAAGGUCUGAUGCUCAAAGUUAGUCAAACAGUCACUGUUAGAAGCAUGGGAGUGUCAUAUAUAUCCUGAAGGAGCUCUUACACGAGACAGUCGGAUAUGGAAGCUCCUCCAAUCUGACAAUGACAGAAUGUCAUCAAAGUCGGCAGCUGCAACUGGGGCUUCCAAGGCUCCCUCCUGGACUUUGUUGUCUCACCAAACAGAGUUCUUCAGCAUGUAUGGCCAGUCUUAGAUGGCGCUCACAUCGUGCACUUGCCAUCUUGACUUGAUGUAUGUUCCAUAAUGAGGAUCUCCAAGAGUCUAGCUCAGCCUUUGCACAUGCUAAGAGGAGGGGCUUGACAGAAUUGAAUGUGUAGACAAAAGAAAAUGAGACUGGUUGGAACAAAAGGAAAUGAAGUUUGGAUUAUAGAAUUGAAAUGUCAUGUUGUCCAACUCAUAGAAGUGAAAGGAAGGAGUAUUUUUGUGAUGACGUUUUAAAAUUCGUGCAGAAACUGACGAGUGAAUUCUAGUCUGUGGUUGCCCUCAAGCACUGCUGUGGCUCUCCUCUAAUACUUGCGUCAUUAUUAGUUCUGCCUCCAACACAUUUUGAAUAAACAUGUGCCAGGUUUUCUCAUUUGUAAUGACAACGGGGAAAGUGAUACAUUUAUGCGUUAGGUUAUCAAAUCACUGCAAUACCAGUACUUUAUCUUAGUUUCUAUUUCCACUGAGUAAUGCUGUUUCCUGGGGUACAAAAAGUCAAAUAAACAAUAUUUGAGUAUGACAUAGAAAACUGAUGGCAAACAUCAUGGUUAUUUUUGCGAUGAGGAAUUCGCGACUGGUUACGAGUUAACGUAAUCUCAUCAUGGUCAAUAAUUUCACAUUGCCACACUUAAAAUAUGACCCCUUGCCAUCUGCUGUGACAACUCAGCAGGCUGAACCUCAAGGCUGUCUACAGGAAACAGCCUCUACAUAUCUCCCUGGCAUCUGCUUCCCUGUCAGUUUGUCAUAAGGAAAACAGGAUGCAAUCACUGAGCAGUUGUGUGGCUGAAGGUGAGGCCCAUGUGGAUCAACAGGACAUGAAUACAGCCUCUCUGCAUAUUCACUGGCCUACACAUCCCUUGUGUAAUCGCUUCAGCAUUCUAAAGUAGACUAAGGCUAGUUUUCCAGUGUAACUGAGCACCAGCUUGUACACAGUCGACCAAGGAGAGAGCUGAAGCUAUCUGGACCUGGCCCUGCCUCGUCAGCAGUUGAAAACGUGUAACAUUCACAUACCAGAUACCUGUGUAUUUCCAUUAAGUGCCACAGGUGUUGUGGCCAGCCCUUGAUUCCAGCGAUUUGAUUGGGGCAGACUUGUACUGUAUCUACAAUCAUCGGCCAUUGUAAUGUUGCUAGCCCUGUGUUUAUCUGGAUUUUCAUCUGCCAGUGAACAGGAUAUAUUUAGAAGGAAAAGGUGGCCUGUUUUUGCUCAAAAUGUUGGAUAGUUGCCAGUUCACCUUUGUUGAGUAUUGUAUGAACAAAUAGGCUAUUUUGGAUCAUUAUGGAGUUAAAAUGUGACCUUUGUGGCUGCAAGGAAUAUGAAUAUCCCAUUUAGGAUAACCUGGACAUGUCCUACAUCAUUAAAUAUUGAGAUGACUUUUGUUUGGAGCUGGUUUAUUUAUGAUGUGAGGGAAAGACAUCAUCAGUGAUAAGCAACUUGUGUCUUAGAUCUGUUUGUUAUGUUUAUGUGAAUGUGUGGACAUGUUGGGAAUAGUUUGUCAGCUUCACAUUAAGUAAAUCUUUGACUUGUUUAGGAAAAAUGAAUGUUUAUUAUUGUGUGAAAAUGUCAUGAAGACAUUUUAAAGGCAUUUAUCAGUGACAGUGUGAAGCAGGGUUUGGAGUCAGUCAAGUUCUAAUAUCUGGGACAAGAGUUAAAGUACAUUUAUGUUGAUCACGAAUAAUGUGCAGCCAGAAUUAUUUCAUAACUAUGGCAAAAUUUGUUCGAAUGGGAAGAAGAAUUAUGUUACGAACACCAAGUAUCUUCAGAACUUUAAUAUGGCACCAAGAGAACAAAUAGCAAGCACACACUCACUUGAAGCAUUCUCAAUCUUUGGAAAUUUGCAUUUUCCCAUUAUGUCAGUAUGAACUACCAGUAUAAGAGACAUUUGGAAUUGUCCAACUUCUGGGAGAAAAGCAUGACAUCAGUGUUGAUCUGUGAACCAGGAAGUUUCCUUUUUUCACAUAGCUGCUCCCAACGUACUUGUUAAAGCGAGAAUGACCUUCCAUCGCCAGCUUUGGCUACCUAAACCCAUUUGCAGAUUCUACAAGUGGGUUCUCUGCCUGUAGGUUUGAAUUUCAAACAGGCACAGGGGAGGAAAUCUGUUGGAGCAUAUUUGAAAGAGGUUGUUGAAGCUGGUGCCAACUGAAGAAACCAGCCUUUCAGAAUUGCCGUUUCUGAUAAGGGCAACUUCAGGCAGUUGCUCACAAGUGAAGAAUGUGCUGCUGUCCCCAGGACAUUCAAGUUGAAGAUAUCACAGACCUCACAGCAGCUUGCAGCUUUGAUUCAGAUAGAAAUAAAAACAGUUCUUGAGAGUUAGUCAUGGAAACCUGUUUAAUGUCAAAAGAUAAGCUGUGGAAGUUAAGAUAUUGCCCAAACUUGAAAUAAUCGCUUCAAUAACUUUUAAAGCGAUCUUCCAGUUUUUUGUUUUUUCCUGUUUACAUGAAACCAGUAAUGGUGAUUAUGGCACACAUGAUCAGAUUGUAAUCCGAAAUAGAAUUGAUUAACUUAUGUGUAUAAAACAUUUGGGAUUUAUGAUUGAACUGACUUUCAUUCAUGUGAAGGGAAUAUUGAAUAAGCCAAAUUAGGUUGUUGUGUCAACAUGAUGUGUUAAGUGUUACAUAGGUCACAAGUAGCUUGUUUCCAUUUGGUUACAAUUAUCUGUGGCCAGGUCAGAUUGACCUAAACCUGAUUUGGUUACAUGAGGCACGAGAUCUCAUUUCAGGAUGCUCACUGACAACAUUGACUGAUGGAGUAUCAUUGUGAUUUAUCCUCCAAUAACCACACCAUUUUGAAUGGCUGGCUAACUUUUCCAUGAAAUUUAUACUCAAGCUACAGAACUAGUUUCACUGUGGCAUCUUUAGGAACUUCACUCCUGUUCAAAAUGAAUUUGUUUUGGGGUGGGGUGGGGGGGUGUCCUUAAAUUUGCUCCUACAGGAUUUAAAUCCAGGGACCCCCUAAAUCUUUAAAUUUUAACAUAAGGGCAGUGACAACCCCUUGAAUUUCAAGGGUGAUUUUGAACACUGAUCUAUUUCUAAAUAUUAGUAAAUACCUCUUGUAAGUGCUUGUGUAAUUGGUGUUCCAUUUGGUGUACAUUAAUUCGCAAUGCAAUCACCAUCACAAUGGUAGGUCAAAUAUCAAAAGAACCCUUUACAUGUGAAGUGCAGUUUGUAAUUUUUGUACUGCAUAUUGUAUCGUGUAUUGUAUCAUGACUUUAUGGAGUCGUGUAUUGCAUCGAAAUGAAGUGUAUUGAUUAACAUGUUUUAAACUGAUUUAAAGGUGGCACGUAGAUCAAUGCUCAUGAUGUCAAUCACAGGAUUGUCUAGUCCAGUCUCGAUUAUUUACAGACUGCAGUCAUGUGGCUGGAAUAUUGCUGAGUGUGGCACUUUUCCAGUCAUUUUUCAACCAACAUGCCAUGUGCACAAGGUUAUGAUAUCAGGCACCGACUUGUGGUUAUUGGCACAGACUCCCAGUGUACAACUCUAAUGCAAGCUGAUUUGGAGGCAGACAAAGCAGAGGAGAAAGCAUAUUUAAUGUAUUGAGCUCCAAGCAACGUGAUCAGCUUUGUCUAUAAUAGCUGCAGAUAGAAAACUACAUAGAAAAAAACACACAUGAGAGGACUAAAGAAUCAAAUGCCAUUGCAUUUUCUCAUGUCCAUCUGUAUCACAAGUGGGUCUGUUUCUAUGUUGUGAUAGAAGUCCCCACAGAUCCCUGACAUUAUUUCAGUGGCCUCUUGUCUGAACCAAAAUUUCAAAAUUUAGAUAGAUGCUUUUGACAAAAAGAACAAAAUAAUAAUAUGGUUUGCAAACUGAAUAUUCCUGAUGUAAAGAACGUGAAAUUUUCCAGACUGCCUUUUGUAGAUUGAAGGUCCAUUCACUCAUUUUAUGCAGACUUGGUUUUCUCCCGUCUACAACCAUUUUGUGCUUUCUUUCUUCUGUUCCUUAUAUGUUCUGAUGGAUAUUGCACAAUGCUCUGUUUUCGCCUCACGAUAUUCCAUUACAUGUCUGUAAAUAACUCCUGAUUUAUUGAUAAUCCUGAUCACAGCAAGCCAUUUGGUCAAAUUGAUUAUCUUAUACAGAGAGGACAAAAUAUCAUUGGUGGCUAGCUGAUAUUUGACGUGGCUAACAGGCAGACAUUCAUGGUUUACUACGAAAUAGUUUUUUGAAAGGUAUUUUGUCAAAAUAGAGAGAGUUCUGACACUGGUUUUGAUGUCUUUUGUCAAUAUCUGAUACUUUGUUUUGAAGCAGACA